CUUCUUACUGCAGUCAUCUAAAACACUGGGGGAAUAUUAAAAAUAAAACUUCUUAAAAACUAUGUUGAUGAGGAUUUUUACUUGCGGUUAGACUAAUAAUUCCGUUGUAACAACAACAACAAAACAGGACAAAACAAACAAAAGCAUAUAAAUACACAACCUGAUGCCUCUACCCAUUUCAGCUUUUGGAGUCUAAUAUGUCUAUGAUGCUUCUACAAUUAAUACUUACAUAGUUGUAAGAAAUAUGGAACCAGCCCAAAUGCUCAUCAAUCAAGCUGAUAAAGAAAUUGUGGUAUUUAUAUACAAUGGAAUACUACUCAGUCAUUAAAAGGAAAAAAAGUCCACC